AGUGAACGCUGGCGGUAGGCCUAACACAUGCCAGUCGAACGGCAGCACAGUAAGAGCUUGCUCUUACGGGUGGCGAGUGGCGGACGGGUGAGGAAUACAUCGGAAUCUACUUUUUCGUGGGGGAUAACGUAGGGAAACUUACGCUAAUACCGCAUACGACCUACGGGUGAAAGCAGGGGAUCUUCGGACCUUGCGCGAUUGAAUGAGCCGAUGUCGGAUUAGCUAGUUGGCGGGGUAAAGGCCCACCAAGGCGACGAUCCGUAGCUGGUCUGAGAGGAUGAUCAGCCACACUGGAACUGAGACACGGUCCAGACUCCUACGGGAGGCAGCAGUGGGGAAUAUUGGACAAUGGGCGCAAGCCUGAUCCAGCCAUACCGCGUGGGUGAAGAAGGCCUUCGGGUUGUAAAGCCCUUUUGUUGGGAAAAAAAAGCAGCAGGUUAAUACCCCGCUGUUCUGACGGUACCCAAAGAAUAAGCACCGGCUAACUUCGUG
rnacentral:rRNA from 1 species